rnacentral:tRNA from 2 species
GGAGAGGUGCGGGAGUUGGCCGAACGGGCUUGAUUCGAAAUCAAGUGAACGCUUUGCGUUCCGAGGGUUACAAUCCCUCUCACUCAGCCA